GAUGAACGCUGGCGGCGUGCCUAAUACAUGCAAGUCGAGCGAACAGACGAGGAGCUUGUUCCUCUGACGUUAGCGGCGGACGGGCGAGUAACACGUGGAUAACCUACUUAUAUUACUGGGAUAACUUCGGGAAACCGGAUCUAAUACUAGCUAAUAUAUUGUACCGCAUGGUUCAAUAGUGAAUGACGGCUUUGCUGUCACUUAUAGAUGGUUCCGCGCCGCAUUAGCUAGUUGGUAAGGUAACGGCUUACCAAGGCAACGAUGCGUAGCCGACCUGAGAGGGUGAUCAGCCACACUGGAACUGAGACACGGUCCAGACUCCUACGGGAGGCAGCAGUGGGGAAUAUUCCGCAAUGGGCGAAAGCCUGACGGAGCAACACCGCGUGAGUGAUGAAGGUCUUCGGGUCGUAAAGCUCUGUUGUUAGGGAAGAACAGAUGUGUAAGUAACUAUGCACGUCUUGACGGUACCUAAUCAGAAAGCCACGGCUAACUACGUG
rnacentral:rRNA from 1 species